rnacentral:lncRNA from 1 species
CGACAAGAUUGUUGUUCUUCCUUCGUGUAUAAGCCGGGAGGCAUGUCUUUGGAGUAAGCAUCGUUCAAUCACAUACAGCAACCAUGAACGAGCAAUCCUUUUUUUUUUACGACCGUUGAAGCGCAGCAAAGAUGGGAGGGGAAUCGUGUCCCACUGGGCGUGCCAUUUUGUUUGGUCGAAAACUGAGAGAAGACAUAGAAAAAUAAUGUAAUGCAAGGGAGACACAUGCACACAUAUUCGAGAACCACAUAUUUCAUUAAUUCUUUCUUGAAUAUACAAAAUAUAUGAUCAACUAAAAAAAUUGUCUUCUUCCGUCUUCAGCGUCAUGCUUAAUGAGAGGUCUGACUUGUAGAGAAAAUUGCGUAGUUAGCCAAUUCCCGGGGCCUGUUGGGUGCGUCCGGUUAAUUACAUCUGCAAGACGAGCUUACGGAAAACCUCCGAU